rnacentral:lncRNA from 1 species
UUAAGUUUUCCAAGAAACUCGUCCACCACAGAUGGAAAAUUCUCAAGAUUAUAACAAUGUGAAAGGUUAAGAUAUAUUAGCGAAUCCAACUUGAGAGGUUGAAUACUCUUGAGAUUGUGACAACUUUCAACAUUCAGGGUUUUAAGUUUUCCAAGAAACGCAUCCACCACAAGUGGGAAAUUCUCAAGACUAUAACAUUGCGAAAGGUCAAGUGUUUCUAGAGAAUUCAACUUGAGAGGUGGAAUACUCGUUAGUUUGCAGCAACCUUUAACAUUCAAGGUUUUAAGUUUUCCAAGAAACGCAUCUACCACAAGUGGAAAAUUCUCAAGACUAUAACACUGCGAAAGGUCAAGUGUUUCUAGAGAAUUCAACUUGAGAGGUGGAAUACUCCUUAGCAUUUUGCAAUAUAUAACAUUCAUGGUUUUUAG